CAAAGUCAGGGUACAUAAUUGAUUGUGUUAAUAUUAACAAACAACCGGCUUUUGAUCAUCCUUUGCUAAAGAACCAUAAAUUACAGCAUAUACCAAGUAGUCAAAGAAACGUGAGUGAAACAAAUGUCCAUAUUUCACCAACCAAAUCCAAUUUCGAGAUUGAGAAAGUUAGAUGUCCAAAAGAAACUGUCCCUAUUCGGAGGGUAACCAAAGAUGAUCUCAUCGGAGGCAUAUCUUUAUUCAAUGAUCAUAUUCUAGAUCAAACUAGUUAUCAUAGACAUUCUACACAUGUAUCUUCUAUAAAUUUGCAUGCUCCUUACUUUGGAGUUACUGGAACAGCUAGUGUUUAUAAUCCAAAAGUUUUUAAGGGCCAAUCAAGUUCAGGUCAUAUAUAUGUUCAAAAUGGUCAGGGAGAUAGUACUAAUAAAAUCGUUGUUGGAUGGCAU